rnacentral:lncRNA from 1 species
AAAAAAUAGGAGAAAACUUCUGCAAAAACACUGUUGUAUUGGAUCUGCCCAGUUUCUUUUCAUCUUCCAAACAUUCAUAGGUCAAAAUGCUCGAAUUUGCCUAGGUGGUCCCUGAUCGUGUUACUACUUCCUUGAUUUUGAAAGUAUUAGUUUGCUGGGCUAUUUGUUGAUUUGCUGGUUGACUGUGGAGAUCCUGUUGCUGUUGUUUUUCCUUGCUAUUUAAAUAUUGCCGAUUUCCUUUUGUUCCUUUGAUUCAUUCAAUUCCAGGUGCAUACCUUGAAUCUGUCUUGAUGUAGCUUUUGAUUUGGAGAAUGGAAUAAACAUACUCAUGAAUUUGCU